GGGCGUGGCCAAGCGGUAAGGCAACAGGUUUUGGUCCUGUUACUCGGAGGUUCGAAUCCUUCCGUCCCA
rnacentral:tRNA from 1 species